GAGAGCAGCGAGGAGGCCCUGGAGUUCCCGAGGCGGGGGGCCGGGGUGCGAGUGGGCGACGCGAGGCGCCCCUCCCUGGGCUGCAGGGAGAGCGCUGAGAGCGUGGAGACGCCGCGGGGCUAGCGCCUUCUCCUCUCCGGGUGGAUCAAAAAUCGGGAGGAAUGUGCGGCGCUCUGCGCGGGCCAGCCGAAAGGGGCAAUCCGAACUUGACCGCGGCGCCCGCGCCGGGCUUCGCCCCCGCGCGCCGCACUGGGAGGGUGGCGCUCUGCCGGUGCAGGGCAGCGCCGGGCUUUCCUCGCGCCUGUCGAAGGCCGGCCUUCCCGCUCGGGUGUCUCGCCCUCUCGCUUCUCCGCAGGGCAGGAGGCAGUGGCGAGAAAAGGAGCUGCCGGCCGGAGUUCUAGCACCGAGAAGGAGAGGUGCGGAGCGGCCGGGUGAGGGAAGCCGAGUAUUUGCCAGGGGACGCUGCGAGUGGGGAUGAAUUUAUAGGGCUCUCACUCCGUGACGUGCCCUCCAGUGGCUUUUCUGAUUCGCUUUCUGACCUAAACACACAUUAGUUUAGUCCCCAUGCUAAGGCCAACACGGUCUCCAAAUAUCUGCUGGCUGAAGUCAGAGGCUUUGCAUAUCAUGUAUUACAUGGCAGGCAAUGAAGAAGGCUUCUGAGGCUGGCCGGCUCCUCAGUCCUAGGCUCCAUUUUCAUGCUGUUGUAAUCUAAUACCAGACAUGGGGUAGGCACAUACAUUCAAAAUCCCAAUUCCAGAGGCGUAAGAUCACUUUAUCAGGAACGGGUUAGGGGAGGUUGAGCUAAACCUGCUUUUAUCCAGAUUUUCGAAAAUGCAGAUGGGAAACUUCAGCAAGCGCCCACUUGGGUGCUGAGUUUCCAGCGAUCAGGGGCCCGGCCCCCAUUCCAGAGCUCUGUGGAUGGGAGAGGUGAGACCUUCUGGGCAUUCCUUUUGUUGGUUAGUUCACCACCAGAAGCUGCCUGAGCCUUCUUUUGUAGAGGACAGGAGGAGGGCAAGUCCUUACACACCCUGUGCAUGGCUAUAACCAUAAAUACAUUUCAUUCACAUGGGGCAUGGAAUUGGCUGUACCUCUAAAAUAAUGUACUAAAUAGGGCAUGUCUUUGCUAAGCAGAAACCUGUUUUCCGGAAGCCAUUGGACCUGAAUUCAGUGGGACCUCUUUUAUUUUAUUAGCUGGGGCCAGGGAAAGUGUAAACAGGCUCAGUUUACGUCCAUGUACCUCUUAUUUUAUGACUCAUCCGGUUGUUGGGGAGUAUGUGUUCUUCAAGUAGCUGAUACAGACAAUAGGCAGGGGAAAUGCGUGUGGCAGUGUGGGGGGAAGAUCAUGUAUUAUUAAACUUCUUAAAAGUCAAAGAUCAGCUACUUUGCAGGUUUGUCAGUGAAGCGAGUGUGGGAGGAAAAUUGUUCUUACUAACGUUGCUGUGAUUUAAGAUUAAGCGAAGUGAAAAUCGAGUCAUCCAAACAUACCUUAGCUGAAAUUAGGAUGCUCUCUGCAGUUCUGCAGAAAAUGACAUUUCCCUCUUUGAUAGAUUUAUGGUAGAAAUGUAGUUAGAUUCAGAAAUUAGAGGGCAGAAUAAGCUUAAUAUAUUUAUUGCCAUGUAGCAUUGUUUUUGGAAUUUGAAGACGACCCUCAUCAAUGUUCUUACUCUGAAUGAUUUCUUUAUUUUUAGAGGGCUUUUUGCUGGGGAUGAUCAGCCCGUCCAAGCACCUGCAAAUAUCUAGCACUUGCUGUGUGCCAGGCAAAGUGCUAGGCCCUGGGCAUUGUGCUGAUUGGGCUUUUUUUUUGGGCGGGGGGCCGGGGUUGCAAGGAACAGAUACCACUGAGGUUUACCCUAAGUAAUGGGAAUUUACUGUGGAAGGAAGGCUGACCGGAAUCUCCACCAUUCCGCCACGUGUCUCCGAAAAGCCUUCCGGAAAGGCCACCCAGCCAGGCCUCACGAAAACUGGAUUGAAGUUCAGGAACUGGAAGGUCAUUCAGGAUACAGCUCUGUGACUGGGUUAUCUCGCUGCCCCCUCAGCAGCAGGCAACUGCCGAUCCCCACUAACGGCUUAGCCGCCAAGGUGAUUCAGCUCCUCUCUCGCUGUUUUCCCCUGGGUGUCCUUUGGCUUCUGCUCCUGCUACCAACUGCUCAGCUCUCAGUUGAUCUCACAUUUAAACUCCUUUAGUGAAAGGAUCUAGUUUGUCCUGCUAGGGAUUCACCAGGGGUGAGAGUUGGACUGAGCCUUUGUAUCAGUCUCCUUACAGGUUGCAAAACACCCUGUAUAUCCGCAGACCUGGGGGCAGGUGCCUAUCCUGGGCCAAUCAUUCAUGUCCAGGUUGUUGGCAUCAUAGAGUACACAGCCUGGCCACCUUUGUUUGAGAUACUUCCUAGAGUUCCUCCCCACAUUCCCUCCACAGCGGAUGGUCCCUCAGAAGGAGGUGGGUUAAUGGUAGGCACUUUGGGUUUUGACAGUCCUCUCCCAGCCGUUCAAAAACUACCACUACAGAGAGGGAGAUAUGCCCAUGAGUAUUGAUGGUAUAAAGUGAUAAAUACUCCAACAGAAGUAUAUAUGAGACUCAUGUCCUGGAGUCUGAUUUUCACAUGGCCAGUGAAACACUGAGGAGAUUUCAAAAAAUACCCAGACCUGUAGGCUGGAAGUGGUGGUGGCUCACACCCGUAAUCCCAGCACUUUGGGAGGCUGAGGUGGGUGGAUCACUUGGGGUCAGGAGUUUGAAAUCAGCCUGGCCAACAUGGUGAAACCCAGUCUCUACUAAAAAUAGAAAAAUUAGCUGGUUGUGGUGGUGGGCACCUGUAAUCCCAGCUACUUGGGAGGUUGAGGCAUGAAAAUUGCUUGAACUUGAGAGGUGGAGAUUACAGUGAGUAGUGAUUGCACCACUGUACUGCAGCCUGGGUGACACAGUGGGACUCUGUCUCAAAAAAAAAAAAAAAAAAAAGUCCCAGACCUAGGCCUUGUUCAGGGCAAUUAAAUCAGAAUCUCUUGAAGGGUGGAGCUCAGGAGUUGAUUUUUCAGAUGCUCCCAGGUUAAUGAAUUGGCUUUAUCUUUUCCCAGUGGUUGCAAUCAUCUUGUGAUUCUUUUUGAAAGCAAAAUGAAGAAGCCCUAUUUUGAUAGGUUCUAAGACUAAGACUCUUCCAAAACAUUAAAUUCCCUUCAAAAUACAAAGUAUCUUAAAACAGUAAUAUAAAGGAAAAUGUUAAAUUUAAUUUAGAAUUAAAGCAAAUAUUUCUAAUUUUGAAAGAACAUUUAUUUACAUGGCUACAGCAUACAGAUGAAUUCAGCAAAAGUUCCUUCUGAAGUGAUUGCCUUCAACAGAGUUAAGAUGGGAAGCAAACAUUUGGUGUCUUGGGAACAAGGGGAUGGCCUGAUGUCACAGUCUCACGCCCCCAUAAGCUGAAAGUAGGGAGCCCCACAGCUGCGAGGCUCCAUCUUCUCUGUUCUCAAGGAAACGGAACAGUUUGAUUUGAAGCUGUUCCUCAGCGAAGUCCAGAAGGGAAGAAUUUGCAGCACCGACUCUGCUCUCAAUAGGCAGAACAUCCUCUGAUAAAGCAACAACAGCAACAUAUUGCUAAGGAUUCUCACAUUGUCCCCAGAUCUCAGCUUUUUAUCUAGGAAGCCCUGCCUGAGAAUCAGAGAGAACAAACAUUGUUCAAGCCUCCCAUCUCCUCUUUGAGAAAAAAGGUUCGAAGCCCUGCUAAUUUCCUAUUUCAUCGCUAUCGUCCUCUUCACUGGGAUUUCUUGUGAGUCUCUAACUGAAAGUUGUCUAAAUGAUCGGUGCAAUUUGUGCCCAAGGAUCUUACAGUCCUUGGGAAGAGAAAACACAACCAUAAAAUGAUGAAAAAUAAUACAGGGUAUUAUAAGGUUAUGGAACUCAAACUAGCCCUUGAUUGGAGUAAGUAAGCAGAGAGGAGGUGGGGGUGAGGGGACAUUCCAGGCUGGCUGAAAGGGUCCUGGAGGAGACUGGAUGCUAGGUACUGCCACAUUCUUGCUCAGCCUCUGUGGCCCUGUAGGGCUGCAGCCUGUAGACGUGAUGGGGUGGGUGGGUCAGCUUUUGGCCAUUCACAGAAUCCUUGGCGAGCUCCCAGUGGGGCUUUGCAGCUGCUUUGAUUAUAAGGGCCAGGACCCCGGUCCCUGGACUGCCUCAUAAGUUGGGUCGUGAGGACUGAAACAGAAUCCAUCACUUAAGCAGGGCAAUUUCCUUUUCAAAGUCACAGCUUUAUUGGACCGCGAUUUGUUCCAUGCUUGCUUGCUUUUUAACAGCCAUUUUCACGAAUGAUCCUAUUACUCAUGAAGGAAAGAUAGAUUUGCCUUCAGACCACUUAAAAAAAAGUGAAAAGAAAAAAAGAAAGGGGAAAAAUUCACUGUAAUGGCCUUUUUGCAAGUAGUGGGAAGUGACAAAUUCUUUGGAGUAAAUCGUUUCUCAUAAGAAAUCAAUCCUGACAUUGGCAAGGGAGAUUUAUCAGUGAUUUCCAGCAGUUUCCUUCAUUAGGAUCAAAUUGUCUCAUUGUCCACUAAUUUUGUUUUUGGCUCUUGAAAUUACUUUACGAAAUUUCUCUUUUCCAGAGAUAAAACUUCAAUCAGGUGAGAGCGUUGCGGCAGACUUUCUUACUAUGCAAAUGGUCUGAUGGCUUAGGUCUGGGGUUAGCAAACAUUUUCUGUAAAGAUAGUAAAUAUUUUAGGCUUUGCAGGCAUACUGUCUCUGUUGCAACUUCUCAACUUUAGCCUUGUGUUGCAAGAGCACCCAUAGAUGAUAUGUAAAUGAUAAUAUAAUUUUUUCCAUGUUAUGAAAUACUUUCUUGAUUUUUAAAUGUAAAAACCAUUCUUAGCUCAUGGACCAUACAAAAGCAGGCAGUGGACAAGAUUUGACCCAAGGGCUAUGAUUUGCCGACUCCAGUAUAGGUUAAAGUUAUCACUUUGAUGAGACUUAUCAGUUCCAGAAUUGGAAGGGACCUGAGACUUCUAGUCCAAGCUCCUCAUCUUACAAGGGGAGACAAUGGAGGCAGAGAGCAGUUAAGUGACUUACCCAAGGCCACUCUUUGACAGUCUUACCAUCCAAGUAAGUGUGCUAUACAAUUAUUUCACUGGUUUUAUAUGUGUGUGUGUGUGUGUGUAUGGAAGGGGGCACACGGGGAGUGUUCUGUCACCUUUCAAAUUGUGAUUUAGUAUAUUUUAUUGAGGCAAGAAAUGAGUCAAAAUUCAGAUAAAUCAACUGGGAUCUCUAUUGGGGGCAGAGGUUACUGUCAGGCUGAAUGGGGAGCAGAACUUUGAACAGAAGUUGAUUGCUGCCUUUUGGAACAGCAAAACUCCCAGGCAGAGAGCAGAGCACUAAAUACAUUUUUUCCCUUUAAAAGGCCAUGAUGCUUCUGUAAUUGGCUUUUAGACAGCCAUCACAAAGGCACAGAGAUAGGUGGGGGUUGGGGGGAAGAGAGAGAUUUGAGUGGGGAGUCAAGAUACCAGUAUCCUAAUUCUUUUGUGGACCACCUAGUUCCUGUUGCACACUUUUGGAACCUUGCUAAAGAAUGGGAAUUCACAGUGGUCAGUUGACUCUGACAAGGAUUCAGUAUUUGGACCUUUAUUUAUUUAUUUAUUUAUUUAUUUAUUUAUUUAUUUAUUUUUAUAAAGAAAAUAGGCUGGGCGUGGUGGCUCAUGCCUGUAAUCCCAGCACCUUGGGAGGCUGAGGCAGGCAGAUUGCCUGAGGUCAAGAGUUUGAGACCAGCCUGGCCAACAUGGUGAAACCCCAUCUCUACUAAAAAUACAAAAAAAUUAGCUGCAUGUGAUGGCGUGCGGCUGUAAUCCCAGCUAUUCAGGAGGCUGAGGCAGGGGAAUUGCUUGAACCAGGAAGGUGGAGGUUGCAGUGAGCUGAGAUCGUGCCACUGCACUCCAGCCUGGGCAGCAGAGUGAGACUACGUCUCAAAAAAAAAAAAAAAAAAAAAAGAGCAAAAAGAAAAUAGAGAUGGAAUCUCCCUAUAUUGCCUAGGCUGGUCUGGAACUCCUGGGCUCAAGCUAUCUUUCCACCUCACCUCCCAAAGUGCUGGGAUAACAGAUGUGAGCCACUGCCUCUGGCCAGUAUUUGGAUCUUUAAGCCAAAAUAUUCCAAGAGACCUCUAUGCCAUAUAUUAAUUACGUAAUAAACGGACUUCAAUCUAGUCUCUUCUGCUCUUACCUAAAAUACAUGAAUUGUUUGACUGUUUCCAAGAAUGGCAACAGAGCAACAUGACAUCCACUCCUCUUUACUCUUACACCACCUCCUCCAUUGCCUUCUCCAUUUUUCCUCCAUAUGGGAACACUAAUCGAUCAAUUCAUGAAUCCUCAACAAUUAUUUAUGGGUUUAAUAGAAGCAAGCGGUGAAUGCGAGUGUGGAUUUUAUGGUCCCUUGAGUGUUUCAAGCUAAUACAUAUCUCACUGAUGUAGCAGCAGGGCCAGGACUCAGGUGAAGCCACUGAGUCACCUCUCUCACCUCAUCCUAGUCCUGGCCCUGAUUAGCAGAAACUUCAGGUUGACAGCCCCAAGUCCCACAGCCUCAAGUUGAGAGGAUGGCAUGCCAGUGAUCAGGCAACUCAAGUUGGAGCUCUGCCCCUGACAAGCCGUGGGAGCUUGGGAAACUUGUAGCCUCACCUAUUUUUCUACCUAUUUUUCUCUUCUUGCUCCUUCUCUCCCUCCCUGGGAAUCUGUGUGAAUAGAUGAGAUAAUAAACCAGAUUUUCUGAGUUCAUAAGUUACUCCCCGGGAAUAAUUUAUAUUGCACAAAUACUUUCCGGUCACUGGUGUAUUAUUUGGUAAAUUACUGCCCUCCUGCAAUGCUGUAAGUGGAACCCUAGUGACCUGAAAGAGUUAAUGCCUCCCUGCAAGCAAUUAACUUACUCCUGGGGCAUAAUUUACACUCUAAGAGGAUCUGGCGGACCAUAUGUGAAGUGCUUGGAAUUCUUUGAGAGAAAGGCAGCUCUAGAAAUGUAAAGAAUUAAUAUUACACAAGGUGAAUUUGCAGACCUUUCUUCGAGCAGUCUAUCAUGUAACUUCCCAGAAAAGUCCUGUAAGGUAGGUCAUUGUUAUCCUUUCCAGAGGCAUUCUCUAGCCAAUGGUAAGUCAGUGGAUAAUAUACCCAGCAUGAGGUUAGGCAAUACCUAUUUGUAGAAUGACUUCACUAUUUGAAAAAUAAUGGGUGAAAGAUUGGGAGGUACAUUUUAGAAAUCUGAGUAAAAAACAAAAGCUAAAGUUAAGAUAAUUGUAAUAAGUAUCUACUUUACAAUCUUGAAUAGUAGGAAUGUGACCUAAAUAUAAUGGGUCAAUUUUUUAUACAAACUCAGGGACACCAACAUAUUAGAAUGUGGCAUCUGUUUCAAAGUGGUCAUCUGAGAAGACUAUCUAUACAUCCUAAUAUGCACCUGUCACUUGAAACACUUUUAUAACCUGCAAACACAAUUGUCAUCCAUCCAACAAAUAUCAUUUAGCCAUCUCCCUUCAUAAGGCCCUGUGUUGGCAGUUGCUGAGGGACAAUGAAAAAGUCAUGAGACAGCAUCUCUGUAUUCAGGGAUGGCAGUUCUCUGGGUUUUGAGGGUGGGUUGAAUUUUGAGCAAAGAUCAAACCAUCUGAAAUCAAUUCUAGUGAAAGAGGAGGGUUAAAACCAAGAGAAGGUAAUUUAGAGACUGCUCAUGGCUCAGUGGCAAAUUGCAACGAUGGCCUCAGUUCUUCACCCUUCUCUGUAUCUAUGCUCUUUGCUAUGUGAUUCUGCAGUUCCUCUUGCUAAAGUGAUGGUGUCUGUUUCCCCAUUCUCUGAAUCUGAAGGGGCACUGUGACUUGUCUUGGGCAGUAGAAUGCAGUGGUAGUGAGAGAGUGCCAGUUUUGAGCCAAGACUCACAAGGUAAACAUGUUUCUGCUUCCUCUUUCAAAGCUAUGCCACUGCCAGGAGAACAUGCCUGGGCUAGCCUGCUGGAGGAUGAGAGGCGUGUGGAACAGAGCAGUAUUGCUGCAUUUGUCACAGGCAAGGUCAGUUUAGAUGAGCUGAGAGCCAACUGAUUUCCUCUCCACUCUUCAUCCCCAGACAUGUAAAUGAGCCUGUAAAGAUCAACAGCGCUGCCUCUUCAACCAGUCUGGAAUAAGCAAGGAAGGCUUAUUGUAUACCCGUGGGAUUUUGUGGUUGUUAUGCAGCAACAUUAUGGCAGUAGAUCACUCACACAGCUUGUAAACUGAUUCCAAAAGAGGAACUCUCAAUGCUAAACAAUCACAACAUUUCUGGACUAAGUGACUGGUGUCUCCAGGUGACUACCAGGAGGCUGUAACAUAUGUUUGGAGAAUAAAUGUCCCAAUGUUUAUUGGGCAUCCUUUCUCUGUUCUACUGCACUUCAUACUUACUGUAUGAAAUUGCUUGUAUGCAUAGCCAUGACUACAUUAGACCAAAUGUUCUGUAAGGGAAGGAACAACAUUUUAAAUGUUCACCUCCUUAGUAUCUGGCAUAUAACUACUUGUUAAAUGAAUGAAAAAAUGAAGACUCUUAUUAGAAGUCACACCUUGCAUUGUGUGCUUUUAGUAACUUUGGUCUACUCAUGAUAUGCAUUGGGUGUGUAAUAUGUAAUCUUAAAAACUUAAUUAAUGCAAUUACUUGACAAGAUUAUAUAUGCACAUUACACCUUUCAAAAGGUGCAAAGGUAUUUUCAGUGAUAAGUGAUGGUUUCUCUCAUGCCAUCUUCAAGCCAUCCAUUUCUCUGGUAACACAAUUACCAGUUUCUUAUCAAUUCUCCCAGAGAAUGUGUAAUCAUUAAAAUAAAGCUAUUGUCUAGGAAAGAAAUAACAUUUUCAGCCAUUACUUUUUUAUAAGUUUGCACAUUUUACUAUUCGUUUUCUUUUGGAGGCUGGACCAAUUGGAUGUAGCCGUUAUGUUCUUUGCUAGAAUGUUUUGAAAGCUGUUUCCCCAAGUUUGUUCCUUUAACAUUUUUUUUAACUUUUAAUUGACAAAUGAUAAUUGUAUGUAUCUGUGGGGUAUAACAUGAUGUUUUGAUACACGUAUACAUUGUAGAAUGAUCAAAUUAGGCUAAAUAACACGCCCAUCACCUCAGAUACUUAACAUUUCUUUGUGAUGACAGCAUUUAAAAUAGUUCUUUUAGCUAUUUUGAAAUCUACAAUACAUCAUUAUUAUUAAUGGUAGUCACCAUGCUGUGUAAUAGAUCACCAGAACCUACUCCUUAGCUCCAGCCAAAACUUUGAAUGCUUUGACCAACGUCUCCCCUUUCCCUCCUUUUUCCUCUCUCCCCCUGCCACUCCUCCUACCCUGGCCUCUGGUAACCACCAUUCUAGAAAUUCAACUUCUAUGAGUUUGACUUUUUUAGAUUCCAUUUUUGAUUCAGCAACUUUCCUCAGGUUGUUUAAGGUUUGAAUGCCGCUGGAAUUCAUGCAGCUGUUUGUUUCUUUGCCUGUGUACUUCUAUCACAUGAGCUGUUAGGCCAGCCCUGGGAGCCUGGUAAUUACCACAGAGCGAGGCGGCAGAGGGAGCAGAUAAACUUGAAACAUUGGGCUCUCCAGGUGACAAGGAUCAGGAGUUCUGAACCCCUAGAAAGAACCUCUAUCAUGGAGAACCCAGGCUCUCUAUUCGAUGACUAUAGUGGGAGUGUCUUUUGUGGGUUUGAUACCAGAUUUAGCAUGAUUCAUUUACAUUCAGAUGAUGGCAAAUCUCAGAGAAGAAAAACUGCAGCACAGCAUACAUGGGAUGAUUGUUGGCAGGAUUAAAUAAAACAAUGGCUUUAAAAGUAUUUUGAAGAAUGUGAAGUGCCAUGCUGACAUGAGGACAUUGAGGAUCAGAGAUGUUGAAAAACUUGCCCAAGGAUGCACAAGUGGAAUGUCACGGAAGAAUAGAAGAACAACUCAGAGGAGGAAGAAGUCAGACAUAGCCAGACACGGCUGCUAGCAGUUCCACCAAUGAAAGAGGAGACCAGGAUGUUUAAAGCAGGCAAACACAAGGUGCGAAAAACCAGAAGCGAAAACUUCUGAGGUCAUUUAAGCAGGGACUAUCGUUAUCCCCGGAAGCAGAGAGAAGUUCAAUCCUUUGCCCAAUAUCACACUGCAAGCACGUGUUGGAGCUGAGAUUCAAACCCAGGCAUCCAGGGUCCAGGGCCCUUAGGAGAAUUUCCCCUAUUUAAACAAUAAAAGUGCAAAAAUCUUGUGGCUAGCCAAAAUUUUCAGUUGUUUGGAAAACUUAUUUAUCCAAUAAGUGGAAAACUCACUUGUCCUCCAACAAUUCUGGAUAAAUGAAAGAACGAAUUGAACUGAGACUGGAAUCCGGGUCUCCCAAGUACUUUGUAGUUCCUAUCCAUAUGGCUUGUCAGGAAGGCCACAGGGAGGUUAACUAACUCUGAGUAACCAGAAACAAUCCCACAUCAGACUGUUGGCAGUGGGAGUGGAACACUCAGAGCUGAACCGCAUGCAAGAUGGUUGCAUUUUCAUUUGCAAUGUUGUCAUCUUCCUCAUGGCUAAAGAGGUAUUUUGGAGUUGACAUGAAGGCUACUGUAAUUUUUAGAGGCAUUUUCUUUCUGGCCUGUAUUUACAUAUUGUGGUAGAAGAGUCAGAAGACUUCAAGCUUCAAAAGUGAAUCUUGUUGCGAGUUACAAAAGCACCACCCGGUGGGGUGCAGCUCUCAGCAUGUGUCACCACAGGCACUGUGAUUUCCCUGUCUUCAUCCAACUUUGGUUGCUGUUCUUCAUGCUCAGGAAUUCUGCAACUGCCGUAGCUUUUGCUGUUGUUAUGUCUGUAGGUAUGGACUCAUUUCUACCAUUCUGGAAUGAAACAUUAUUUCAAGGGAAGCUUCUCAUUGUAAAAGGUCCACACAUUCAGAAGGAAACUGGGAGUACAUUUUCUCAUAGGCCUGGAGCAUUAACUGACUAUGCAUCUUUCCCCUCAGUGUUGUCAUCAUGUUGUAAGGGGAUGAGUCAUGGACAACAUUUUCACACGCAUACGUGAGGUCCAUCGACCAGUCUUUAGGACAACUAGAAAUCUUUUCUUUCUUUGUUUUAAAAAAGAAGACAAGUCAAGAUACAGCAAAUAAAAAUGCUCAGCACAUUUGCUGAAAUCUUAGCAAAAUCAAAUUACUAGUAAUUUGUUAAUCACACUAUACCUGUUUUGAGCCAAUCCUACUUAACCCACCCUCCAUCUUCCUCAUGCUUGCCUCCCUGGUGAACUCCUAUUUAUGUUACAAAGCUCAGUGUUUAUGUUACUACUUUUGUGCUAUUUCUGAACGUUAAAUGUACCUCUAUUAUAGAACAUAUCUCAUGGAAUAGUUAUUAUUGCAUAUCCACUGCCCUUGUUAGGCUGUGAGUGAGCUUUCUUUCUUUCUUUUUCUUUCCUUCCCUCCUUCCUUCCCUACUUCCUCCCUCUCUCCCUCCCUCCCUCCCUUCCUUCCUUCCUUCCUUCCCUCCUUCCCUCUUUCUCUCUUUUUCAUUUCUUUUCUUUUUUUUAAAAUUUGAGACAGGGUGUCACUCUGUCACCCAGGCUGCUGUGCAAUGGUAUGAUCAUAGCUCACUGCAGUCUCGAUUUCUCAGGCUCAAGAAAUCCUCCUGCCUCAGUCUCUGGAGUAGCUGGGACUACAGGCACAAAUUACAACUCCUGACUUAAAGCCUGGGAGUUUCUUGUAGGUAGGAUUCAUAACUAAUGUAUUGCCGUGUCCUGGCACAUAGAAGUUAUGGUAUGCAGAAUUCUGAGAUCACUCCCAAGAUCCCCAACCCCUCUGGCAUCCAUAUCCUAGAAAAUCUCUUCUUCUCAAAUAUGAAUGGUACCUGUGAAUAUGAUGGCUGUCACUCUCUGAUUAGAUUACAUUAUAUGGCUAAGGUGAAGGAAUUCUGCAGAUAUAAUUAAGGUCCCAGAUGAGUUGAUAUUGAGUUACUCACAAAGGAGAUUAUACUGGAUGGCCCUACCUUAAUCAGGGAAAAGCCCUUAAAAGAGGACUGGGCCCUUCCUGAAGGAGGACAGUCCACUGCUGGCUUUGAAGCAGUAAGCAGCUGUGUUUUAAGGGGGCCUAUGGAGGGGCCCAUGUGGCAAGGACCUGAGGGUGGCCUCUAGGAGUUGGUGGCAGUUCCCAGCCACUGGCUAGCAAGAAAACAGGUGUUUCAGCCACAUAGCCACAAGGAAAUGAAUUCUACCGACAAUCCAAAUGAGCUUGGAAGUGGAUUUUUUCCAUGGUCAAGCCUCCAGACGAACACCUUAACUGUAACAUAUGAACAGCUGAGCAGAGGACCUGCUUCAGCCAUGCCUGGACUCCUGACUUGUGGAAACUGAGUUAACAAAUGUAUAUUAUUUUAUGCCGGUAAGGUUGUGGUAAUUUGUUAUGCAACAAUGCCUAAUACAGUAGGCAUCUUAAA